AGAUGCGAGGAGUACCUGCGGAUGGACAUUACCG
rnacentral:rRNA from 1 species